CAGCCUCUGGAGUGAGCCGGGAGCAUUCUCGCUGGCAGCUGGGGCCACGGGCACUUAGGGCCGCCGCCGAGCCGUCCGCCUCUUGGAAAGAGCUCGCUGCCGUCCCCGGAGCCGCCGAGGCCAGCUUCGCGGCGCUGCCCCGUGGCGGGAGACCGAGGCUGCAGCAGAGCGGAGGCGGCGAGCGGUCGCGGCGGCCGGCAGCCUACGGUGCGGCCCGGGAACCACGCGAGCUCGCGGCUCGCACGCGCCUGCCGCAGCUCGCGCCUUUCUGUGCCUCCGGGCGCCGGUCCUCUUCGCCCUCCCGCCCGCUGGCCAGGGCCGCGGCGGCCCGAGGAGCAGCAUGAAUCUGCGGCUGUGCGUGCAGGCGCUCCUGCUGCUCUGGCUCUUCUUGACCGCGGUGUGUGGAGGGCCCCUGGGGCAGCCUCCUCAAGGGAAUGGGCUAGAGGAAGGCAAUGUUCGCUACUUGCUGCAGCCCAGGGCGCCGCGGAACGGACCAGGGCCCUGGCAGGGAGGCCGCCGGAAAUUCCGCCGCCAGCGGCCCCGCCUCUCCCAUAAGGGCCCCAUGCCUUUCUGAAGCAGGACCGAAGGGGCCCCCAAGGGCCUGCCACCUGCAGUUCUUGCCACUCGUAGAUGGGUCUGCUUCUUGGGAGCCCCCACAUCCAUCCAUUCAGCUCUUGCACUUGUUCUAGCUGCUGCCGGUCCCGGCUCUUCUCACCCACCAGCUGCCCGCAAUGGUGUGGUCCUGCCCCUUCUUCAGAUGAUUCCAGUUCACUAGCAAGGAUCCGCUGAGCCCGUCUUCGCAGCCCCUCCCUGGGCUGACCUUGGAGACGCAGCCCUCUGCACGGCUCUCGUCCUACCUCACCCACCUGAGGGCCCAAGCCUUCACUGGCUCCCUUCAGCAGCCUUGUCCUUUGGACCCCACAUCAGUCUCAACACAGCGAGGAGCAAUGAGAGACUCUGAUUCCAGGGGCUGAGUGUUGCGAUCCAGACAUGUGCACUGGGGGCACUGAUAUGGGGGCUGGUGCUCUGGUGAUGGGGGGUUGAUGCAUUAGAGGAAAGGAAGAGCAGCUACUGGGGGCUCUGUGGUGGCCUGGAGAAGAAGAGGGGACGGAGAGAGGCCGUUGUCACUUCUCACACAUUAUUUUGUCUCCUAACACUCACUGCUAAGCCUUCCCCCUCCCCACCCCUUGCCAGCAAGUUCAAGCUCAGGGUCAGGAGGGGAGGGUGCUGGGUCUGCAGUGGCUCUAGACCUCCCAGGGGUAAACGCCAAGCAAGAGGGUCAUUUUUUGCCAGGAAUCGAAGACUAUCAGAGCAGAAAGAACCCUCGCAGAGACCACUUAGCUGGGCUUCCCGUAUUGUGCUGAUACAGACUCCCACAGAGGGACACAACUGCUCAGGGGCACUGCAGAGCCGAAAAGGGGACCGGUGUCCCCCCUCCUCCCCGCUUUAUGAUGUCCUCUUCCCUCUGAAUGACUUCCCAAAACAGUCAAGUGCCUCUUCCGGGGGUGGGGGUGGGGUUGGUGCUGGGGCUGGCUAGGAAGGGAAGGGAGAGGCAAGCUGGCUGUGACCAGCCCCCUUGAGGGGUUGAAGCUGCUUUCAGCUCCCUGGCCUUCCACUGCUGCCCCCAUCCUGGGGCAGACUCAGGCCCAGGCCCGGAGACUACCAUUCAAAAAGCCCAGCGCUGCUUGUCAGUAGCUUUGCCUUCUUUCCCGGUGGCCUUUCCUAAGGGCUGGAGGGCAGAGGGCGGAGAAGGAGGAAAGGAGGGUGGGAAGGAGAGAUGGAGGGGUGGGAGGAACAGGGAAGGAAGGAGGAGGGAGGAGAGACAGGCGCACGUAAAGGGGUCUCUCAAGCGCCCUGAGCGGGCUUCCUUCUCAUCCGCCUCCCUGGAGGGAGAAAAGAGAAGACAGAAGCCGGGUGCCCACCUGGGUAUGCGUGAGUGCAGGCGGAGUCAGGGCCCCCCAAGAACCCCACAAUAAUCCCAAUGUCCUUUACCUCUGCUGCUGCUAACGCUGCUGCUACUGCUGCCGCCGCCCCAAGGCCCACCCUGGGGAAAUGGGGCUGGUCACCAGCUCCACCCCACCCUCCCGACUCGGGCUGGGGGCUGCUCAGUGUCCAGAAGGUCUCUUCUGCCGCUCAUGCCCCCACCAGAGCCCGGGCCUUCCUCCUCCUCCUGUCUGCAUCUCCCGCCUGCAUAAGCUGCAGCCAAGCCCAGCCCCCAUGGGGAAGGGAAGAGAAGGGGGACAUCAGCUGAGAAAGUUGGGAGACACGGGCCAGAGGAGGGCAGAGGGAGGGCCGGGGGUCUGCCUUAUUUAAAGUGGUUGUGUAUGAUUCUUAGACUAAUUUAUACAGAGACGUUAAGGCCUUUUUCAUUACCAAAGUGUCCUCUUCCCAUGACUGUGUUCACUGUGUUUGUAAAGAUUGUUCUGUGUAAAUAUAUCUUUAUAAUAAAGAGUUAAAAGCUGACAGUG